GCUUUUACAAUUCUUGCAACACCACGUUAUUAGAUUAAACAUAUUUUUCUCUGCAAUUUAUUAUUUCGCACACUUUCAGAGAAGUGCUGUAGGACUUAAAUUGUGCACACUAAGAACAGCCCCUUUCAUACUUUGCUCGAGCAAAGUUGCCUUCGUGAAACCUUUUGGUGCUGCGGAUUUUGGCAGCGCAGGAGGAAGGUGAGCGGCCCCACCAGCCCCGCGGUGCAGACACAUCACGGAGCAGAAUGGAAGGAAAAGCCUCACAGCCCAGGAGCAGAAAAAGUGGGAAUCCACAGCCUUCUAGGAUCUCCUUCAAGACUCUAAUUUACGGGAGUCCCAUUGGCAGGGAAAUCAGACAAUCGGCGGCGGGGCCGCCGGGGUCCCAGGGAUGCUGAUGGAUGAGCAGAACGGCGGCAGCGACGUCCAUCCCCGGGGCACCCUCGGCACAGGGGGGACCCGGCUCAGCCCCCCCAUCACCUCCCUGGCAACUUCGCCGCCGUCCCCCCAAGUUCUGCCGGCGUUACCUUCGCCGCUCUAUUUGUUAUCCUAAUAAAAGUUUCUCGGCUCUGCCAUAAAGUUGUCACUUUAAAGGCACGUUA